rnacentral:ncRNA from 2 species
CUGCGAUAACGGCAAACUUAUUGAAAGGUAAGGACGCAGAGCCACGGGUCUAAGGUUUUAUGACUAUGAUCGCCGGGUUACCGAA